ensembl:lncRNA
AUUUUUUUUUUUUUUUUUACUGAUUUUGUUUAUCAAUAUACAUGCAUAAAUACUUUUUUUUUUUUUUUUUUACUGAUUUUGUUUAUCAAUAUACAUGCAUAAAUACUUUUUUUUUAACUGAUUUAAGUGUUACAGGCCAAAAGAGAAAAAGAUUGUAUGAGCAUAUUGGUAACCUCGACCGGUUAAGCAAGAAAGGCAGGAAAGCCAUUGGCUAGCCUUGUUAGGUGCUGACUAAAACUGUAGAUGAGCCAUUAAGUGUUUGAAGUGUUACAGGCCAAAAUAGAAAAAAAAAGUACUUUUUUUUUUUUUUUUUUUACUGAUUUUGUUUAUUAAUACACAUGCAUGAAUACUUUUUUUUUUUUUUUUUCCGACUGAUUUUCUUUAUCAAUAUACAUGCAUUAAUACUUUUUUUUUAACUGAUUUAAGUGUUAGAGGCCAAAAGAGAAAAAAAUUGUAUGAGCAUAUUGGUAACCUCGACCGGUUAAGCAAAAAAGGCAGGAAAGUCAUUGGCUAGCCUUAUUAGGUGCUGACUAAGACUGUAGAUGAGCCAUUAAGUGUUUGAAGUGUUACAGGCCAAAAUAGAAAAAAAUAGUACUUUUUUUUUUUUUACUGAUUUUGUUUAUUAAUUCACAUGCAUGAAUACUUUUUUUUUUUUUUUUACUGAUUUAAGUGUUACAGACCAAAAUAGAAAAAAUUUGUAUGAGCAUAUUGGUAACCUCGACCGGUUGAGCAAAAAAGGAAGGAAAGCCAUUGGCUAGCCUUGUUAGGUGCUGACUAAGACUGUAGAUGAGCCAUUAAGUGUUUGAAGUGUUACAGGCCAAAAUAGAAAAAAAUAGUACUUUUUUUUUUUUUUUAACUGAUUUUGUUCAUCAAUAUACAUGCAUAAAUACUUUUUUUUUUUUUACUGAUUUUGUUUAUCAAUAUACAUGCAUAAAUACUUUUUUUUUUUUUUUUUUUAACUGAUUUAAGUGUUACAGUCCAAAAGAGAAAAAGAUUGUAUGAGCAUAUUGGUAACCUCGACCGGUUAAGCAAAAAAGGCAGGAAAGCCAUUGGCUAGCCUUGUUAGGUACUGACUAAGAUUGUAGAUGAGCCAUUAAGUGUUUGAAGUGUUACAGGCCAAAAUAGAAAAAAAAAGUACUUUUUUUUUUUACUGAUUUUGUUUAUUAAUACACAUGCAUAAAUACUUUUUUUUUUUUUUUUUUAACUGAUUUUGUUUAUCAAUAUACAUGCAUUAAUACUUUUUUUUUAACUGAUUUAAGUGUUAGAGGCCAAAAGAGAAAAAAAUUGUAUGAGCAUAUUGGUAACCUCGACCGGUUAAGCAAAAAAGGCAGGAAAGUCAUUGGCUAGCCUUGUUAGGUGCUGACUAAGACUGUAGAUGAGCCAUUAAGUGUUUGAAGUGUUACAGGCCAAAAUAGAAAAAAAAGUACUUUUUUUUAACUGAUUUUGUUUAUCAUUAUACAUGCAUAAAUACUUUUUUUUUUUAACUGAUUUAAGUGUUACAGGCCAAAAGAGAAAAAGAUUGUAUGAGCCAAUGUAACCUCGACCGGUUAAGCAAAAAAGGCAGGAAAGUCAUUGGCUAGCCUUGUUAGGUACUGACUAAGACUGUAGAUGAGCCAUUAAGUGUUUGAAGUGUUACAGGCCAAAAUAGAAAAAAAUAGUACUUUUUUUUUUUUUUACUGAUUUUGUUUAUCAAUAUACAUGCAUACAUACUUUUUUUUUUUUUUUUUAACUGAUUUAAGUGGUACAGGCCAAAAGAGAAAAAAAUAGUACCUUUUUUUUUUUAACUGAUUUUGUUUAUCAAUAUACAUGCAUAAAUACUUUUUUUUUUUAACUGAUUUAAGUGUUACAGGCCAAAAGGGAAAAAGAUUGUAUGAGCCAAUGUAACCUCGACCGGUUAAGCAAAAAAGGCAGGAAAGUCAUUGGCUAGCCUUGUUAGGUACUGACUAAGACUGUAGAUGAGCCAUUAAGUGUUUGAAGUGUUACAGGCCAAAAUAGAAAAAAAUAGUACUUUUUUUUUUUUUAACUGAUUUUGUUAAUCAAUAUACAUGCAUAAAUACUUUUUUUUUUAAACUGAUUUAAGUGUUACAGGCCAAAGAGAAAAAGAUUGUAUGAGCAUAUUGGUAACCUCGACCGGUUAAGCAAAAAAGGCAGGAAAGCCAUUGGCUAGCCUUGUUAGGUGCUGACUAAGACUGUAGAUGAGCCAUUAAGUGUUUGAAGUGUUACAGAUCAAAAUAGAAAAAAAAGUACUUUUUUUUUUUUUUUUUUUCGACUGAUUUUCUUUAUCAAUAUACAUGCAUUAAUACCUUUUUUUUAACUGAUUUAAGUGUUAGAGGCCAAAAGAGAAAAAAAUUGUAUGAGCAUAUUGGUAACCUCGACCGGUUAAGCAAAAAAGGCAGGAAAGUCAUUGGCUAGCCUUGUUAGGUACUGACUAAGACUGUAGAUGAGCCAUUAAGUGUUUGAAGUGUUACAGGCCAAAAUAGAAAAAAAUAGUACUUUUUUUUUUUUUAACUGAUUUUGUUAAUCAAUAUACAUGCAUAAAUACUUUUUUUUUAACUGAUUUAAGUGUUAGAGGCCAAAAGAGAAAAAAAUUGUAUGAGCAUAUUGGUAACCUCGACCGGUUAAGCAAAAAAGGAAGGAAAGCCAUUGGCUAGCCUUGUUAGGUGCUGACUAAGACUGUAGAUGAGCCAUUAAGUGUUUGAAGUGUUACAGGCCAAAAUAGAAAAAAAUUGUACUUUUUUUUUUUUUUUAACUGAUUUUGUUUAUCAAUAUACAUGCAUAAAUACUUUUUUUUUUUUUUUUUUACUGAUUUUGUUUAUCAAUAUACAUGCAUAAAUACUUUUUUUUUUUUUUUUAACUGAUUUAAGUGUUACAGGCCAAAAGAGAAAAAGAUUGUAUGAGCGUAUUGGUAACCUCGACCGGUUAAGCAAAAAAGGAAGGAAAGCCAUUGGCUAGCCUUGUUAGGUGCUGACUAAGACUGUAGAUGAGCCAUUAAGUGUUUGAAGUGUUACAGGCCAAAAUAGAAAAAAAUAGUACUUUUUUUUUUUUUAAACUGAUUUUGUUUAUCAAUAUACAUGCAUAAAUACUUUUUUUUUUUAACUGAUUUAAGUGUUACAGGCCAAAAGAGAAAAAGAUUGUAUGAGCAUAUUGGUAACCUCGACCGGUUAAGCAAAAAAGGAAGGAAAGCCAUUGGCUAGCCUUGUUAGGUGCUGACUAAGACUGUAGAUGAGCCAUUAAGUGUUUGAAGUGUUACAGGCCAAAAUAGAAAAAAUAUUACUUUUUUUUUUUUUUAACUGAUUUUGUUUAUCAAUAUACAUGCAUAAAUACUUUUUUUUUUUUUUUUUUAUGAUUU